ACACUUUGUUGUCAGGUAAAAGCCACAUGUUAGCUGAUGACUUACAUUCUAACAUUUGAGGUAGAAAUAAUAUAAAUUUUGAUCCAAUACAAACAUUCAAAAGCCACUUGGCACAAAUUAAAGAUUUCUGAUUGAUAUGUGGA